rnacentral:rRNA from 1 species
GACGAACGCUGGCGGCGUGCUUCACACAUGCAAGUCGAACGAGGUAGCAAUACCUAGUGGCGGACGGGUGAGUGACGCGUGGGAAUCUGCCUUUGGAUGGGGGAUAACGGGUCGAAAGACUCGCUAAUACCGCAUAUGACGAAAGUUGAAAGGAGUAAUCCGUCUAAAGAUGAGCCCGCGUCCGAUUAGCUAGUUGGUAGAGUAAAAGCCUACCAAGGCGACGAUCGGUAGCUGGUCUGAGAGGAUGAUCAGCCACAAUGGGACUGAGACACGGCCCAUACUCCUACGGGAGGCAGCAGUGGGAAUUUACGCAAUGGGCGAAAGCCUGACGUAGCGACACCGCGUGAGCGAAGAAGCCCCUUGGGGUGUAAAGCUCUGUCAGCUGGAACGAAAAAAUGACGGUACCAGCAGAGGAAGCAUCGGCUAACUACGUGCCAGCAGCCGCGGUAAU